AUAUUUCGGAACUGAGUCUAGUUCCUUCGAUUACACUGAUAUCGAAGGAACUAGACUCAGUUCCGAAAUAU
rnacentral:miRNA from 1 species